AAUUGGCUGUGGCUGUCUUGAGGGUUGUAUUGAGAAAGGUUCUGAAGCACUGUUCUAAGCUCAGCUCGGGGGAGGUUAUUACUGACAAGCACUGUCUGCCACGUGUGUCUGGAAAGGGGUGGGCAGAGUGGUGGGAGGUACAGGCCAAACUGAGCCGGAGAGGCAUCCACGGUCACACAGCGGGAGGGGGUUCCCCACGCCCAGCAUGCUUUAGACAUUAUCCACAGACUUCCCACUACGGAAGAUGAGAAUGUAGCUGUCUCACGUAUUCUCACCUCCUGUCUCCUGAUGCCCCCAGCUACUUCCCUCCUCUCAUGCAUCCAGCACAGAUGUGUAAUAAUUGGAGGGGCAGGACAAUAUUGGGUAGAGGUGGUGGAACAGCUGACAUCUAUUUCUUGUUCCUGAUUACAAAGAGAGUACUUCUAUUUUUGUCUUGUUUCUAAUUAUUAGGAAGAUGCCUCUGUAAAGAAAUUGUUCACUGUGGAGUAUAAUGUUUGCAGGUUUUUAAACAGUUGUUAUUAAUUAGAUUAAACAAAUUUUUUUUCUAUGCCAAGUUUGCUUAAAAGUUUUCAGUGAGAAUAAAU
rnacentral:lncRNA from 1 species